UACGUAGGGUGCAAGCGUUGUCCGGAAUUAUUGGGCGUAAAGGGCUCGUAGGCGGUUUGUCGCGUCGGGAGUGAAAACUCAGGGCUUAACCCUGAGCCUGCUUCCGAUACGGGCAGACUAGAGGUAUGCAGGGGAGAAUGGAAUUCCUGGUGUAGCGGUGAAAUGCGCAGAUAUCAGGAGGAACACCGGUGGCGAAGGCGGUUCUCUGGGCAUGUCCUGACGCUGAGGAGCGAAAGCCAGGGGAGCGAACGGG
rnacentral:rRNA from 1 species